rnacentral:rRNA from 1 species
UUGUAAUUUGGAGAGGAUGCCUCGCGGACGGCGCCGCCCUAAGUCCCUUGGAACAGGGCGUCAGAGAGGGUGAGAAUCCCGUACUGGGGCGGAGGCCCGACGCGUGUGAGGCUCCUUCGACGAGUCGAGUUGUUUGGGAAUGCAGCUCUAAUCGGGAGGUAAAUUCCUUCUAAGGCUAAAUAUCGGCCGGAGACCGAUAGCGCACAAGUAGAGUGAUCGAAAGAUGAAAAGCACUUUGAAAAGAGAGUUAAAAAGCACGUGAAAUUGUUGAAAGGGAAGCGCUUGCCAUCAGACUCGUCCGCGGUCGAUCAGCCUCACGGCGCACUCGUCCGCGGUCGGGCCAGCGUCGAUUCGGGCGGCCGGAGAAAGGCCGCGGGAAUGUAGCUCCCCCCGGGGAGUGUUAUAGCCCGCGGUGGAAUGCGGCCCGCCUGGAUCGAGGUCCGCGCUCUGCAUGGACGCUG